UACGUAGGGGGCAAGCGUUGUCCGGAAUGACUGGGCGUAAAGGGUGUGUAGGCGGUCUUGUAAGUUAAAAGUGAAAUCCCCGGGCUUAACUCGGGUGCUGCUUUUAAAACUAUAAGACUUGAGUGCAGUAGAGAAAAGUGGAAUUCCUAGUGUAGCGGUGGAAUGCGUAGAUAUUAGGAGGAACACCAGUGGCGAAAGCGACUUUUUGGACUGUAACUGACGCUGAGGCACGAAAGUGUGGGGAGCAAACAGG
rnacentral:rRNA from 1 species